rnacentral:tRNA from 1 species
AGGGAUUUAGCUCAGCGGCAUAAGCGCCUGCCUUGCAAGCAGGCAGUCGUGAACUCGAUCCCUG